rnacentral:rRNA from 1 species
CCUACGGGUGGCAGCAGUGAGGAAUAUUGGUCAAUGGACGAGAGUCUGAACCAGCCAAGUAGCGUGAAGGAUGACUGCCCUCUGGGUUGUAAACUUCUUUUAUAUGGGAAUAAAACGUUCCACGUGUGGGAUUUUGUAUGUACCAUAUCAAUAAGGAUCGGCUAACUUCGUGCCAGCAGCCGCGGUAAUACGGAGGAUCCGAGCGUUAUCCGGAUUUAUUGGGUUUAAAGGGAGCGUAGGUGGUUUGUUAAGUCAGUUGUGAAAGUUGGCGGCUCAACCGUAAAAUUGCAGUUGAAACUGGCAGUCUUGAGUACAGUAGAGGUGGGCGGAAUUCGUGGUGUAGCGGUGAAAUGCUUAGAUAUCACGAAGAACUCCGAUUGCGAAGGCAGUUCACUGGACUGCAACUGACACUGAGGCUCGAAAGUGUGGGUAUCAAACAGGAUUAGAUACCCGAGUAGUC